rnacentral:rRNA from 1 species
GAUGAACGCUGGCGGCAUGCCUAACACAUGCGAGUCGAGCGGAUAGACGGAGCUUGUGCCGGGAUUAAGCGGGGGGCGGGUGAGUGAGGCACAGGAGUAUGCCUGGCAGAGGGGGAUGACGUCAGGAAGCGAGAGCGGAUACAACAUACGACAAGAUGGUGAAACGGGGGGAUCUUUGGACAUAAAGGGAUUAGAUGAGCCUAGGCCGGGUUAGCUAGUUGGUUGGGUAAAGGCGUACCAAGGCGACGAUCCGUAGCUGAUCUGAGAGGGUGAUCAGCCACACUGGAACUGAGACACGGUCCAGACUCCUACGGGAGGCAGCAGUCGGGAAUCUUGGGCAAUGGGCGAAAGCCUGACCCAGCCAUGCCGCGUGUGUGAAGAAGGUCUUCGGAUCGUAAAGCUCUUUUAUUUGGGAGGAACGGCUGUAUGUUUAUACCUUGCUGUUUUGACGUUACCUACUGAAAAAGCACCGGCUAACUACGUG